CCACAAAUAGUGUUUGAUCCGGGUUGAGUAAUGCAGCUUCAUAGACAGUUGGUAGGUGUGUAGUUUCCAUUUUCAUUUGUUCAAAGCAAUCAUGAGGAAUAUCUAGGUCACAGUCUGUGGUGAGUGGGUCUUCGCAGGCUUCUGUGUGGUACCUUGGGUACCCUGCUGUACAAUAAUUAAUAGUCUUUUUGUUGAUCCCCG